rnacentral:rRNA from 1 species
GACGAACGCUGGCGGCGUGCUUAACACAUGCAAGUCGAACGGAAAGGCCCUGCUUUUGUGGGGUGCUCGAGUGGCGAACGGGUGAGUAACACGUGAGUAACCUGCCCUUGACUUUGGGAUAACUUCAGGAAACUGGGGCUAAUACCGGAUAGGAGCUCCUGCUGCAUGGUGGGGGUUGGAAAGUUUCGGCGGUUGGGGAUGGACUCGCGGCUUAUCAGCUUGUUGGUGGGGUAGUGGCUUACCAAGGCUUUGACGGGUAGCCGGCCUGAGAGGGCGACCGGCCACAUUGGGACUGAGAUACGGCCCAGACUCCUACGGGAGGCAGCAGUGGGGAAUAUUGCACAAUGGGCGGAAGCCUGAUGCAGCAACGCCGCGUGCGGGAUGACGGCCUUCGGGUUGUAAACCGCUUUCGCCUGUGACGAAGCGUGAGUGACGGUAAUGGAUAAAGAAGCACCGGCUAACUACGUGCCAGCAGCCGCGGUGAUACGUAGGGUGCGAGCGUUGUCCGGAUUUAUUGGGCGUAAAGGGCUCGUAGGUGGUUGAUCGCGUCGGAAGUGUAAUCUUGGGGCUUAACCCUGAGCGUGCUUUCGAUACGGGUUGACUUGAGGAAGGUAGGGGAGAAUGGAAUUCCUGGUGGAGCGGUGGAAUGCGCAGAUAUCAGGAGGAACACCAGUGGCGAAGGCGGUUCUCUGGGCCUUUCCUGACGCUGAGGAGCGAAAGCGUGGGGAGCGAACAGGCUUAGAUACCCUGGUAGUCCACGCUGUAAACGGUGGGUACUAGGUGUGGGGUCCAUUCCACGGGUUCCGUGCCGUAGCUAACGCUUUAAGUACCCCGCCUGGGGAGUACGGCCGCAAGGCUAAAACUCAAAGGAAUUGACGGGGCCCCGCACAAGCGGCGGAGCAUGCGGAUUAAUUCGAUGCAACGCGUAGAACCUUACCUGGGUUUGACAUGGAUCGGGAGUGCUCAGAGAUGGGUGUGCCUCUUUUGGGGUCGGUUCACAGGUGGUGCAUGGCUGUCGUCAGCUCGUGUCGUGAGAUGUUGGGUUAAGUCCCGCAACGAGCGCAACCCUUGUUCACUGUUGCCAGCACGUUAUGGUGGGGACUCAGUGGAGACCGCCGGGGUCAACUCGGAGGAAGGUGGGGAUGACGUCAAGUCAUCAUGCCCCUUAUGUCCAGGGCUUCACGCAUGCUACAAUGGCUGGUACAGAGAGUGGCGAGCCUGUGAGGGUGAGCGAAUCUCGGAAAGCCGGUCUCAGUUCGGAUUGGGGUCUGCAACUCGACCUCAUGAAGUCGGAGUCGCUAGUAAUCGCAGAUCAGCAACGCUGCGGUGAAUACGUUCCCGGG